rnacentral:rRNA from 1 species
AACGAACGCUGGCGGCAUGCCUAACACAUGCAAGUCGAACGAGACCUUCGGGUCUAGUGGCGCACGGGUGCGUAACGCGUGGGAAUCUGCCCUUCGGUUGGGAAUAACACAGAGAAAUUUGUGCUAAUACCUUAUAAUGUCUUCGGACCAAAGAUUUAUCGCCGAGGGAUGAGCCCGCGUAGGAUUAGCUAGUUGGUGGGGUAAUGGCCUACCGAGGCGACGAUCCUUAGCUGGUCUGAGAGGAUGAUCAGCCACACUGGGACUGAGACACGGCCCAGACUCCUACGGGAGGCAGCAGUGGGGAAUAUUGGACAAUGGGCGAAAGCCUGAUCCAGCAAUGCCGCGUGAGUGAUGAAGGCCUUAGGGUUGUAAAGCUCUUUUACCCGGGAUGAUAAUGACAGUACCGGGAGAAUAAGCUCCGGCUAACUCCGUGCCAGCAGCCGCCGUAA